rnacentral:siRNA from 1 species
CAUGGCAAAAUACAACGACCUA